UUCCGGUUGAUCCUGCCGGACCCGACUGCUAUUUGGGUGAGAAUAAGCCAUGCGAGUUGAAUGGGAUACCUAAAGUUCCCAUAGCAAACUGCUCAGUAACACAUGAUCAACUUACCCUAUAGAGAAAAAUAACCUCGGGAAACUGAGGAUAAUGUUUCAUAAUUGAAUUGGCUUGGAAAAGUUUUUCAAUGAAAGGGAUAAAAAAAAUGGUUUUUAUCUGCUAUAGGAUAGGAUCGUGUUCGAUUAUGGUUGUUGGUGAGAUAAUGGCUCACCAAGCCGAUAAUCGAUAGGGGCCGUGAGAGCGGGAGCCCCGAGAUGGGUACUGAGACAACGACCCAGGCCUUACGAGGCGCAGCAGGCGCGGAACCUCCGCAAUACACGAAAGUGUGACGGGGUUACCCAAAGUGUUCAAUAGAACUGUGGUAGGUGAGUAAUGUCCCCUACUAGAAAGGAGAGGGCAAGGCUGGUGCCAGCCGCCGCGGUAAAACCAGCUCUUCAAGUGGUCGGGAUAAUUAUUGGGCUUAAAGUGUCCGUAGCCGGUUUAGUAAGUUCCUGGUAAAAUCGGGUAGCUUAACUAUCUGCAUGCUAGGAAUACUGCUAUACUAGAGGGCGGGAGAGGUCUGAGGUACUACAGGGGUAGGGGUGAAAUCUUAUAAUCCUUGUAGGACCACCAGUGGCGAAGGCGUCAGACUGGAACGCGCCUGACGGUGAGGGACGAAAGCCAGGGGAGCGAACCGGAUUAGAUACCCGGGUAGUCCUGGCCGUAAACGAUGCAUACUAUGUGAUGGUACGGCCAUGAGCCGUAUCAGUGCCGUAGGGAAACCGUUAAGUGUGCCGCCUGGGAAGUACGGUCGCAAGGCUAAAACUUAAAGGAAUUGGCGGGGGAGCACCACAAGGGGUGAAGCCUGCGGUUCAAUUGGAGUCAACGCCGGAAAUCACUAGUGCGGCCG
rnacentral:rRNA from 1 species